CCAAUAGCGUAUAUUAAAGUUGUUGCAGUUAAAAAGCUCGUAGUUGAAUUUCGGGGUCAGUAGGUCGGUCGUGCCACUGGUAUGAACUGGUUUCACUGAUUCCUCCCUCUUGUAGAACCGUGAUGCCAUUAAUUUGGUGUUGCGGGGAAACAGGACUGUUACUUUGAAAAAAUUAGAGUGUUUAAAGCAAGCUAACGCUUGAAUACAUUAGCAUGGAAUAAUGAAAUAGGACGUCUGUCCUAUUUUGUUGGUUUCUAAGAUGGACGUAAUGAUUAAUAGGGAUAGUUGGGGGCAUUAGUAUUCAAUUGUCAGAGGUGAAAUUCUUGGAUUUAUUGAAAACUAACUACUGCGAAAGCAUUUGCCAAGGAUGUUUUCAUUAAUCAAGAACGAAAGUUAGGGGAUCGAAGACGGUCAGAUACCGUCGUAGUCUUAACCAUAAACUAUGCCGACUAGGGAUCGGAUGAUGUUAAUUUUUUAAUGACUCAUUCGGCGCCUUACG
rnacentral:rRNA from 1 species